UAGGAUCUCCACAAUGGAACGAAAGUCUGAUGGAGCAACGCCGCGUGAGUGAAGAAGGGUUUCGGCUCGUAAAGCUCUGUUGGUAGUGAAGAAAGAUAGAGGUAGUAACUGGCCUUUAUUUGACGGUAAUUACUUAGAAAGUCACGGCUAACUACGUGCC
rnacentral:rRNA from 1 species